rnacentral:lncRNA from 1 species
CAGGGCUGGGGUGAAUCACUCUAAGUAAAGGGCUGGGAGUGAAUCACUCUAAGGACAGGGCUAGGGGUGAAUCACUCUAUUUACAGGGCUGUGGUGAAUCACUCUAAGGACAGGGCUGGGGUUAAUCACUCUAAGGACAGGGCUGGGGGGAAUCACUCUAAGGACAGGGCUGGGGUGAAUCACUCUAAGGACACGGCUGGGGUGAAUCACUCUAAGGACAGGGCUGGGGGGAAUCAAUCUAAGGACAGGGCUGGGGUGAAUCACUCUACGGACAGGGCUGGGGUGAAUCACUCUAAGGACAGGACUGGGGUGAAUCAC